UACAGAGGGCAAGCGUUAUUCGGAAUUAUUGGCGUAAAGGCGCGUAGGCGGCUUUGCAAGUGACGGUGAAUCCUCGGCUUAACCGAGGAACUGCCUGUCAACUGCAUGGCUUGAGACCGGAGAGUGAGUGGAAUCCAGUGUAGCGGUGAAAUGCGUAGAUAUUGGAGAACACCAGUGGCGAAGCGGCUCACUGGACCGUACUGACGCUGAUGCGCGAAGCGUGGAG
rnacentral:rRNA from 1 species